rnacentral:rRNA from 1 species
CGGGGGGAGCAAGCGUUGUUCGGAUUUACUGGGCGUAAAGGGCGGGUAGGCGGCAUCUGCAAGUCGACUGUGAAAUCUCCGGGCUUAACCCGGAAAGGUCAGCCGAUACUGCAGGGCUAGAGUGCAGAAGGGGCAACUGGAAUUCUCGGUGUAGCGGUGAAAUGCGUAGAUAUCGAGAGGAACACCUGCGGCGAAGGCGGGUUGCUGGGCUGACACUGACGCUGAACUGCGAAAGCUAGGGGAGCGAACGGGAUUAGAUACCCCGGUAGUCCUAGCCUUAAACGAUGAAUGCUUGGUGUCUGGGGUUUUAUAGUCCCCGGGUGCCGUCGCUAACGCUUUAAGCAUUCCGCCUGGGGAGUACGGUCGCAAGACUG